GCGACCCCAGGUCAGGCGGGACUACCCGCUGAAUUUAAGCAUAUAAAUAAGCGGAGGAGAAGAAACUUACAAGGAUUCCCCUAGUAACGGC
rnacentral:rRNA from 6 species